CUCUUGCAACUCCAUGGUGUUUUGGAGAAGUUUCCCUGCAGCCCUGUUGUCUGGUGCUUCGAGACACGUUGAUGUGAGAAGACAACCUUACGUAGAGAGUUUCCCUCCUUGUAAGGAUGGUCUAGAAGCCCAUAUCCUGGAGCUGUGGAUCAAGGAUCCUUCUAGCACAUGUGUUACCUGUCCCUAUGAUAGGCCUCUACAGACGCCAGCAAGACUGGGGCCAGCAGGCAUUAGCAAUUGGGAAUAGGAGCUCUCCAUGCUACCCACUGGCCAUGAUGACUUAAGGAGCACUUAGCAGCUCCUGGCCAGGGCUGUCUGCGCUCUUCCAAUCUGCAGGAAGGUGGGGCACUGCCAUCACUAGUAACAGGGAUGUGGGGGAGGUGGCAGCUGACGUUUGUAGUGUGCAUACGUGUGCAUGUGUCUUUAUAGUAGCAUGAUUUGUAAUCCUUUGGGUAUAUACCCAGUAAUGGGAUCAUAAGCUUAAUCAUUUCUAGCUUUUGAUUAAAGUUGAGAGACAUACCACUUUCUCUUUCACUUGAAUACUUAGAGGCCAUUGUAGGGUUAUUAAUUAGCCUAAUUUCAAUUUCAAUAUUGUUGUGUCUUAGGGAAUAGCGAGGCUUAAGGGGAGAGAGAGAGAGAGAGAGAGGUGGAACAGCCUCAGUGGAGCAGUCAGAACACACACAACAUUAAUUGAUUAAUUCAUUGUCUUAUAUGGGUGUGGUUUAUCGUGCCCAAAAAUA
rnacentral:lncRNA from 1 species